GCGCGAAGGAUCAUUAUUGUAUAACACGAGACAUUGAGGCUGUCGCUGACGAAAGUCGUGCACGCCUUGGUGUUCUUACAUCCAUUUCACCCUUGUGCAUCAUCGCGUGGGCCGUUCCCAUUGGGAAUGGUCUACGUUUUUAAUACCAACCCCUAUUGAUGUGUAGAAUGUGUACUUUGCGAUAACAACGCAACUAAUACAACUUUCAACAACGGAUCUCUUGGCUCUCGCAUCGAUGAAGAACGCAGCGAAAUGCGAUACGUAAUGUGAAUUGCAGAAUUCAGUGAAUCAUCGAAUCUUUGAACGCACCUUGCGCCUCUUGGUAUUCCGAGGGGCACGCCCGUUUGAGUGUCGUGAAAUUCUCAACCCUCUUGGUUUUCUUUUGAAGGCUAAGAGGGCUUGGACUUGGAGGUUCUUGCUGGCAGCACUUUGCGAUCNGCUCUCUCUUAAAUGCAUUAGCGAGGUUCUCUUUGCUGACCCUUUGGGCGUGAUAAGUAUCUACGUCUUUGGUGUGGCUCUGCUGUUAGAACCCUGCUUUCUAAUCGUCUCCUUGCUGAGAACAACUUGAGUUCCUCUUUAUUGAGGGCUCUAACUCACACCCUUGAACUCAAAUCGGGGCGGGACUACUCUGCUGAACUUAAGCAUAUUCAAUAAGCGCGAGGAAAAGAAACUAACAGGAUUUCUCCUCAGUAACUCGCCGAGUGAAGCGGGGAAAA
rnacentral:rRNA from 1 species